rnacentral:lncRNA from 1 species
AUUGCAUCUCCAACAAAGUCACUGGUAUCAAAAUCAUGGAUUAAUGUUGUGUUUAAUAUAGCUAACUUUGUAAUCAUCUGGCCUUCUGGCACCAAGUCACAACCAAUUUUCUUUCGGCAAUUCAGGUAGGGAAUUGAGAGUUUCUGUUAGUCUUGUAGCUUGAAACAAAUUCUUGUCCCAGUGGAAAAUGUUAUAGUUCUCCAUUUCUUGUCCGUCAUGGAACCUGUAUAUCAUAAAAGAGUCACCUGGGUUUGGAGAUGAUAGUUUUUGGUGGUUAUACAAAAAAAAACCAGAAUAGUCGGUUUGUUCAAAAAAGAAUUAACCUCAUGGGUUUUUCUGAGUUGUUUUCAGUCUACUAAUAUUAAUAUGGAAAGAAGUUUGAGAAUUGCCAAUAUUCUGAACUAAUUCUACUUGUGCCUUGUUAUUAUUAAUUUAAAGUUUGAAAUUGAGAAUGGAUUCGGGUGGGUAAAGUUCUAAAAGAG